rnacentral:rRNA from 1 species
GGAGGGUGCAAGCGUUAUCCGGAUUCACUGGGUUUAAAGGGUGCGUAGGCGGAUCUUUAAGUCCGUGGUGAAAUCUCCAAGCUUAACUUGGAAACUGCCAUGGAUACUAUUGGUCUUGAAUGUUGUGGAGGUUUGCGGAAUAUGUCAUGUAGCGGUGAAAUGCUUAGAUAUGACAUAGAACACCGAUUGCGAAGGCAGCAGGCUACACAAAUAUUGACGCUGAGGCACGAAAGCGUGGGGAUCAAACAGGAUUAGAUACCCUGGUAGUCCACGCCCUAAACGAUGAUUACUCGACAUUUGCGAUACACAGCAAGUGUCUGAGCGAAAGCAUUAAGUAAUCCACCUGGGAAGUACGACCGCAAGGUUGAA